UUUGAUAUGACGAUUAGAGCAUAACCCGAGUGACACGUUGAAUUCGCCAUAAUCAAGGAAACCUUUUCCGGGUGGGGAUCUCUGAAAUUACUCAGGUAACAGUGCUGUGCCAAAAACCUGUGGAUUUUCUCCACAGAAAUUAUGAAAAUGGACAAAGAAAAUAUGGUGGCCCUCCACCUGGCUGGGAUGCUGCACCCCCUGAAAGGGGCUGUGAAAUUUUUAUUGGAAAACUUCCCCGAGACCUUUUUGAGGAUGAGCUUAUACCAUUAUGUGAAAAAAUCGGUAAAAUUUAUGAAAUGAGAAUGAUGAUGGAUUUUAAUGGCAACAAUAGAGGAUACGCAUUUGUAACAUUUUCAAAUAAACUGGAAGCCAAGAAUGCAAUCAAACAACUUAAUAAUUAUGAAAUUAGAAAUGGGCGCCUCUUAGGGGUUUGUGCCAGUGUGGACAACUGCCGAUUAUUUGUUGGGGGCAUCCCAAAAACCAAAAAGAGAGAAGAAAUCUUAUCGGAGAUGAAAAAGGUUACUGAAGGUGUUGUCGAUGUCAUUGUCUACCCAAGCGCUGCAGAUAAAACCAAAAACCGAGGCUUUGCCUUUGUGGAGUAUGAGAGUCAUCGAGCGGCUGCCAUGGCGAGGAGGAAACUGCUACCAGGAAGAAUUCAGUUAUGGGGACAUCCUAUUGCAGUAGACUGGGCAGAGCCAGAAGUAGAAGUUGAUGAAGAUACAAUGUCUUCAGUGAAAAUCCUAUAUGUAAGAAAUCUUAUGCUGUCUACCUCUGAAGAGAUGAUUGAAAAGGAAUUCAACAAUAUCAAACCAG
rnacentral:sRNA from 1 species